rnacentral:rRNA from 1 species
UCUCGAACUCCGAACGGGCAAGGAGCCGGGGUCGCCCGAUCGGACCCCGGACGUGAAGUCGACGAUGGUCGGUGGGCUGGUUUUGGUAAGCAGAACGGGCGAUUCGGGAUGAACCGGAAGCGGGGAGAAAGGGCCCGAGAUUGCGUCGACGCGGAUCCCGAAAAGGGCGUCGAUCCGUCGCGACAGCGGGACGGUGGUCAUGGAAGUCGAAAUCCGCUAAGAAGCGUGUAAAAACGUACCCGCCCAACGGAUCGGCCCCGAAAAUUGAUGGCGCUCGAACGCAACCCUCGAACCCCGCCGACGGAGGCUAGGGGGAGGCCCCGUCGAGUAGGCGGACGCGCGGGGUCGCUUCGACGCUCCCGCGCGAGCGGGGCGAGCGGCCCGUGGUGCAGAUCUUGGUGGUAGUAGCG